AUGAUACACACACACAUGAUACACACACACACAUGAUACACACACACAUGAUACACACACACACAUGAUACACACACACACACACAUGAUACACACACACAUGAUACACACACACACAUGAUACACACACACACACAUGAUACACACACACACAUGAUACACACACACAUGAUACACACACACACAUGAUACACACACACACAUGAUACACACACACACAUGACACACACACACACACAUGAUACACACACACAUGAUACACACACACAUGAUACACACACACAUGAUACACACACACACACACACAUGAUACACACACACACAUGAUACACACACAUGACACACACACACACACAUGAUACACACACACAUGACACACACAUGACACACACACAUGAUACACACACACACAUGAUACACACACACACAUGACACACACACACACACAUGAUACACACACACACAUGAUACACACACACAUGAUACACACACACAUGAUACACACACACACAUGAUACACACACACACACACACAUGAUACACACACACACAUGAUACACACACACACACAUGACACACACACACACAUGAUACACACACACAUGAUACACACACACAUGAUACACACACACAUGAUACACACACACACACACAUGAUACACACACACACAUGAUACACACACACACACAUGAU
ensembl:lncRNA